rnacentral:rRNA from 1 species
GUGAACGCUGGCGGUAGGCCUAACACCUGCCAGUCGAACGGCAGCACAGUAAGAGCUUGCUCUUACGGGUGGCGAGUGGCGGACGGGUGAGGAAUACAUCGGAAUCUACUUUUUCGUGGGGGAUAACGUAGGGAAACUUACGCUCAUACCGCAUACGACCUACGGGUGAAAGCAGGGGAUCUUCGGACCUUGCGCGAUUGAAUGAGCCGAUGUCGGGUUAGCUAGUUGGCGGGGUAAAGGCCCACCAAGGCGACGAUCCGUAGCUGGUCUGAGAGGAUGAUCAGCCACACUGGAACUGAGACACGGUCCAGACUCCUACGGGAGGCAGCAGUGGGGAAUAUUGGACAAUGGGCGCAAGCCUGAUCCAGCCAUACCGCGUGGGUGAAGAAGGCCUUCGGGUUGUAAAGCCCUUUUGUUGGGAAAGAAAAGCAGCAGGUUAAUACCCCGCUGUUCUGACGGUACCCAAAGAAUAAGCACCGGCUAACUUCGUG